CAUGAAGUUGGAAUCGCUAGUAAUCGCGGAUCAGCAUGCCGCGGUGAAUACGUUCCCGGGCCUUGUACACACCGCCCGUCACACCAUGAGAGUCGGGAACACCCGAAGUCCGUAGCCUGACCGCAAGGGGGGCGCGGCCGAAGGUGGGUUCGAUAAUUGGGGUGAAGUCGUAACAAGGUACC
rnacentral:rRNA from 1 species